rnacentral:pre_miRNA from 1 species
CUUACAGAGUUUAUUGGCAUUCUGUCCACCUCCCAUCACAGAAAAUCCCUUUCCUUUCCCCUCUCUUUCAUGGAGGUGGGCAUACUGCCAACUGGGCUCUGUUGG